GACGAACGCUGGCGGCGUGGAUUAGGCAUGCAAGUCGAACGGUAUCAUCCUUUCGGGGAUGAGAGAGUGGCGAACGGGUGAGUAACACGUAGGUGAUCUACCCUCAAGACGGGGACAACCCAGGGAAACUUGGGCUAAUACCGGAUGUGAGCUAUCGUGAGAUAGUUUGAAGGGUGGCUUCGGCUGCCGCUUGAGGAUGAGCCUGCGUCCUAUUAGCUAGUUGGUGAGGUAACGGCUCACCGAGGCAGUGAUAGGUAGGCGGCCUUAACGGGUGGUCGCCCACACUGGGAUUGAGAUAUGGCCCAGACUCCUACGGGAGGCAGCAGUCGAGAAUAGUCUACAAUGGUCGAAAGACUGAUAGUGCGACGCCGCGUGAACGAAGAAGCCCUUCGGGUGUAAAGUUCUUUUAUAUGUGAGCAGUGACAUCUAUAUUAAUAGUAUGGGUGUAGAGAUAUUAGCAUAUGAAUAAGCAACGGCUAACU
rnacentral:rRNA from 1 species